UGAAUACGAGAUGCUACGGCAUCGAAGUAGUGUAUGUCAGACUUCCAAGAAAAGCUCGCAAUGUCAUAAAUAAAUAAUGCCUGUACCAUAACCGACACAGGUGGGUAGGUAGAGUAUACUAAGGGGCGCGAGAUAACUCUCUCUAAGGAACUCGGCAAAAUGACUCCGUAACUUCGGGAGAAGGAGUGCCUUAUUUAUAAGGUUGCAAUAACAAGAUCCAAGCAACUGUUUACCAAAAACACAGGUCUCCGCUAAGUCGUAAGACGAUGUAUGGGGGCUGACGCCUGCCCAGUGCCAGAAGGUUAAAGAAGUCGGUUAGCAUUAGCGAAGCUGAUGACUGAAGCCCUGGUGAACGGCGGCCGUAACAAUAACGGUCCUAAGGUAGCGAAAUUCCUUGUCGGGUAAGUUCCGACCCGCACGAAAGGCGUAAUGAUUUGGAUACUGUCUCAGAGAGGGGCUCGGUGAAAUAGACUUGUCUGUGAAGAUGCGGACUACCUGCACCAGGACAGAAAGACCCUAUGAAGCUUUACUGUAACCUGAAAUUGAAAUUGGACUUUAUUUGCGCAGUAUAGGUGGGAGGCGUUGAGAAUAUUCUCGUGGGAAUAUUGGAGCCAUCAGUGAGAUACCACUCUUGUAAUGUUAGAUUUCUAACUUUGAAUCAUAAUCUGGUCAAAGAACAGUUUCAGGCGGGCAGUUUGACUGGGGCGGUCGCCUCCCAAAUGGUAACGGAGGCGUACAAAGGUUUCCUCUGAACGUGUAGAAAUCGUAUCUAGAGUGUAAAGGCAUAAGGAAGCUUGACUGUGAGACCUACAAGUCGAGCAGGGACGAAAGUCGGUCUUAGUGAUCUGACGGUGCUGAGUGGAAAGGCCGUCACUCAACGGAUAAAAGUUACUCUAGGAUAACAGGCUGAUCUCCCCCAAGAGUUCACAUCGACGGGGAGGUUUGGCACCUCGAUGUCGGCUCAUCGCAUCCUGGGGCGGUAGUACGUCCCAAGGGUUGGGCUGUUCGCCCAUGAAAGCGGUACGCGAGCUGGGUUCAGAACGUCGUGAGACAGUUCGGUCCAUAUCCGGUGUAGGCGUUAGAAUAUUGAGAGGAGCCUUCUUUAGUACGAGAGGACCGAGAAGGACAUACCUCUGGUGUACCAGUUAUCGUGCCAACGGUAAACGCUGGGUAGCUAUGUAUGGAGAGGAUAACCGCUGAAAGCAUCUAAGUGGGAAGCCCACCUCAAGAUAAGUAUUCUCA
rnacentral:rRNA from 1 species